GCCCUCUUAGUUUAAUGGAUAGAACAAGGUCCUCCUAAGACUUAGAUAUCGGUUCGAUCCCGGUAGAGGGUGCCA
rnacentral:tRNA from 1 species